GAUGAACGCUAGCGGCAGGCCUAGCACAUGCAAGUCGAGGGGCAGCACAGAAACAGCAAUGUUUUGGUGGCGACCGGCGGACGGGUGCGUAACGCGUAUGCAACCUAUCUUUAACAGGGGGAUAACGGAGAGAAAUUUCCACUAAUACCCCAUAACAUCGAUCAAGGCAUCUUGAUUGGUUGAAAACUCCGGUGGUUAAAGAUGGGCAUGCGUUGUAUUAGGUAGUUGGUGAGGUAAUGGCUCACCAAGCCUACGAUACAUAGGGGGACUGAGAGGUUAGCCCCCCACACUGGUACUGAGACACGGACCAGACUCCUACGGGAGGCAGCAGUGAGGAAUAUUGGUCAAUGGGGGCAACCCUGAACCAGCCAUGCCGCGUGCAGGAAGACGGCUCUAUGAGUUGUAAACUGCUUUUAAACAGGGAUAAAGCACAGUAUGUAUACUGUGUUGAAGGUACUGUAAGAAUAAGGAUCGGCUAACUCCGUGCCAGCCGCCGCAGUAA
rnacentral:rRNA from 1 species